rnacentral:rRNA from 1 species
CCUACGGGGGGCUGCAGUAAGGAAUAUUGGUCAAUGGAGGACACUCUGAACCAGCCAUCCCGCGUGAAGGAUGAAGGGGCUCUGCCUUGUAAACUUCUUUUGUCUGGGGCGAAAAAGCUCGAUUUAUCGAGAACUGACGGUACCAGACGAAUAAGCACCGGCUAACUCCGUGCCAGCAGCCGCGGUAAUACGGAGGGUGCAGGCGUCACCCGGAAUAAAUGGGGCGUAGGGGUCCUAGGAAGGCAUUGGAGAAAGGCUGUGGCUUAACCAUGGAAUUGCCAUUGAUACUGCAGAGCUUGAAUGAGGUUGAGGUUGGCGGAAUGUGACAUGUAGCGGUGAAAUGCUUAGAUAUGUCAUGGAACACCGAUUGCGAAGGCAGCUGACUGGACCUAUAUUGACGCUGAGGCACGAAAGCGUGGGGAGCGAACAGGAUUAGAUACCCCUGUAGUC